GAUGAAGAACGUAGCGAAAUGCGAUACGUAAUGUGAAUUGCAGAUUUCAGUGAAUCAUCGAAUCUUUGAACGCACAUUGCGCCCGCCAGCAUUCUGGCGGGCAUGCCUGUUCGAGCGUCAUUUCAACCCUCGAGCCCCCCCGGGGGCCUCGGUGUUGGGGGACGGCACACCAGCCGCCCCCGAAAUGCAGUGGCGACCCCGCCGCAGCCUCCCCUGCGUAGUAGCACACACCUCGCACCGGAGCGCGGAGGCGGUCACGCCGUAAAACGCCCAACUUUCUUAGAGUUGACCUCGGAUCAGGUAGGAAUACCCGCUGAACUUAAGCAUAUCAAUAAGCGGAGGA
rnacentral:misc_RNA from 1 species